CAUCAAUGCCUGAAACUGCCCUAUAAAGCCCUGGCAUUGUGAACGAAACAUGGCUUUCGUAUUGUCCUGCCCGUUUCUUGCUGAAAGGUUGAAAGAUCAGUAAAUGGCAACCUUAAACUUUCUACUUGCUGGUAAUGUUCUGUCUGAUCAACUCCCCUACCUCUCCAUUUCUCUCAAGAGUUAACAGGUAAUCAACCAAAGGCUUUGCGCUCUCAGGUUUCCCACCAAGCACCGAUGUCAUGAAUUUAGAGACGUAUCCAAGCCCAUUCCCAAUUGAAGACGAUAGAGUCAGUUUUGGAGUGCCAAUAUCAAAUACUCCAAAAUCUAUCUCUAGAGAAUUUUCAUCAUUUGCCCUGUGGAAAAUAAAAACAUUAUUUUUGCAAGCUCUGGGAAAAAUCCUCUACAAAUUAAGACUUAAGGUUUAUCAGAAAGACUGUCAGCUUCCACCUUCACAUAGUCCCAAAUGCCAGGAUUAUGCCUUACUGCAAAGGCAACAUAUGGUGGCACGACUGCUGCUUCCUGCAUAUUAAUGUCGAAGAUGAAUACUUAGUACUUGGAAGCAGAUCUCAUUAUGCUAGAGCCUCGAGUAUCAGCUCCUAGAAAUGUGGCCCAGGAGCAGGAUAACAAAAAGGUACAGAAAUGUGCAAAACCACCACCCUUACCUGCGUCGAGUUCAAGAUAUCACCAAGUGUACCCUCCAUAACUUUGGAUCUUUCCGCCUUAUCCUCAAUGGUCUGCUCUAUCUCCUCCUGCAAAUGCUGGAGCUUCAUCAGCCUUCUUCCCUUUUCAGUAAACCUUCAAUUUCGAAGAAAGCCAACAAGGUCAGAAAUCCUCACAACACAGUAAAAGAGCCAUCUACACGGAUCAUUUAUAUAUAUUUGUAUACCUAGUGAAACAUCUCUUCAUAUGGUACCGGCUCUGCCUCAAUGCAUCGGGCAUAGUAUCCACUGCAGCAGCUGAAGCCAUCACACUUGAUGAAAGACUGGAAAGGUGUCUUUGUAAGAAGGGAAGUUUGUAGGGUUAUCUGUUUUUCGGACAUGAUUGUGGGAUAGCUUAUAUAGGAGAUGAAAAUGACAUGUGUUUUGAGAUGCA